rnacentral:rRNA from 1 species
GGAUUUCCUUAGUAGCGGCGAGCGAACAGGAAAGAGCCCAGCACUGAAUCCCUCGGUCGUAACGGUCGACGGGAGAUGUGGUGUUCGGGAGGUUCAGCACUCUUGCGGUCGCGCAUCCUGUCCAAGUUCGUCUUGAACGGGGCCCAUUUCCCGUAGAGGGUGCCAGGCCCGUAGCGACGGACGCCGGCCGCGAGAUGAAUUCUCCUCAGAGUCGGGUUGCUUGAGAGUGCAGCCCUAAGUGGGUGGUAAACUCCAUCUAAGGCUAAAUAUGACCGCGAGCCCGAUAGCGAACA